AUGCCUUUUGGGUUAACUAAUGCACCUAGUACUUUCAUGAGAUUAAUGAACGAAGUUUUACGUGCUUUCAUUGGACGAUUUGUGGUAGUUUACUUUGAUGACAUAUUGAUUUAUAGCAGAUCUUUGGAAGAACAUUUGGAACAUUUACGUGAUGUUUUUAUUGCUCUACGUGAUGCACGUUUGUUUGGUAACCUUGGGAAGUGCACCUUUUGCACCGACCGAGUAUCUUUUCUUGGCUAUGUUGUUACUCCACAGGGAAUUGAAGUUGAUAAAGCCAAGAUUGAAGCUAUUGAGAGUUGGCCGCAGCCCAAAACGGUCACACAAGUGAGGAGUUUUCUUGGCCUCGCUGGAUUCUAU
rnacentral:rRNA from 1 species